CUUCCUGGCUCUAAAGGAAACUCAGAAUGACAACGGUGGCUGGAUAUUCUACCAUGGUAAUAGAACCCCUGAGUUUUUAGCUGGGCAUGUAGCUGUUCAGAGGAAAAAAAAGGCUAUUUCCCAGUUUCCUUUGCAAAGGACUGGGUGGAAGUUUUAUAUGGCAACUUCUGGAACUUUCCUUAAGUGACAGUUGGUCUCCCCUGUUGAUCUCUGCUGCUUUCAAGCCUCAAAGAUGCCAGUGCCCCUAAAACAAUCCUGCGGGCAGAUCACUCAGGCAAGAUAACACCUGGAGAGACAGUCAGCCAGUCUGCAUUAAAGGGAGAAAGAUGCUGCGUUUAAUGAACGGAACCUCCUGCCUCGACGAUUCAUUGAGAUUCUUCACCACCACCCUCGUUUUUCCCUUUAAAAACUGUCAUGGCUGAGCAGAAUCUUCGGAGUUGGUCUCUGGACACCAUGCCACCAUCUCCCCAGAUUGCCAACUUUUCUGAUUAA